rnacentral:rRNA from 3 species
UGCAGUCGAGCGAUGGAUUAAGAGCUUGCUCUUAUGAAGUUAGCGGCGGACGGGUGAGUAACACGUGGGUAACCUGCCCAUAAGACUGGGAUAACUCCGGGAAACCGGGGCUAAUACCGGAUAACAUUUUGAACCGCAUGGUUCGAAAUUGAAAGGCGGCUUCGGCUGUCACUUAUGGAUGGACCCGCGUCGCAUUAGCUAGUUGGUGAGGUAACGGCUCACCAAGGCAACGAUGCGUAGCCGACCUGAGAGGGUGAUCGGCCACACUGGGACUGAGACACGGCCCAGACUCCUACGGGAGGCAGCAGUAGGGAAUCUUCCGCAAUGGACGAAAGUCUGACGGAGCAACGCCGCGUGAGUGAUGAAGGCUUUCGGGUCGUAAAACUCUGUUGUUAGGGAAGAACAAGUGCUAGUUGAAUAAGCUGGCACCUUGACGGUACCUAACCAGAAAGCCACGGCUAACUACGUGCCAGCAGCCGCGGUAAUACGUAGGUGGCAAGCGUUAUCCGGAAUUAUUGGGCGUAAAGCGCGCGCAGGUGGUUUCUUAAGUCUGAUGUGAAAGCCCACGGCUCAACCGUGGAGGGUCAUUGGAAACUGGGAGACUUGAGUGCAGAAGAGGAAAGUGGAAUUCCAUGUGUAGCGGUGAAAUGCGUAGAGAUAUGGAGGAACACCAGUGGCGAAGGCGACUUUCUGGUCUGUAACUGACACUGAGGCGCGAAAGCGUGGGG